GGAGAGAUGGCCGAGCGGUUGAAGGCGCGCGCCUGGAAAGUGCGUAUACCUUAACAGGGUAUCGGGGGUUCGAAUCCCUCUCUCUCCGCCA
rnacentral:tRNA from 1 species